UACGGUGGGUGCGAGCGUUAAUCGGAAUUACUGGGCGUAAAGGGCGCGUAGGCGGUGGGUUACGUCUGCCGUGAAAUCCCCGGGCUCAACCUGGGAAUGGCGGUGGAAACGGGCUGACUGGAGUAUGGGAGAGGGUGAUGGAAUUCCAGGUGCAGCGGUGAAAUGCGUAGAUAUCUGGAGGAACACCAGGGGCGAAGGCGGUCACCUGGCCCAAUACUGACGCUGAGGCGCGAAAGCGUCGGGAGCAAACAGG
rnacentral:rRNA from 1 species